rnacentral:misc_RNA from 1 species
UUUAGGCCAGGCUCGGCUACUUGGACGCUGGAGCGCUGCGGCUCCGUCGGCUUUUGGCGAAAUGGACGAAACAGCCAAGUUUUUAGAUCAGAACGAUCUAUCGGGGAAAGGUUCUCGCAACCCGUCAAACGCUUCUGAAGAGGACGCAUUAGGUUUCAACAUUGAAGAAUUGGACGAUAAGGAAUAUGAACUUCCUGCCGUGCAGAACCCCCCGACGUUGGAAAGCAUUUUAAAUGAGGCCGAAGGAGGCUCCCUUAGCGAUGAAGAAGUAUCGACCCAAGUCGGCGCUUUCUUCCAAGAAACCGGCGACUCGAUGUCAGUCAGUAGCGUCGACUCCAAGAACAUACUGGGUGACAAAAAGGCACGGAAGAGUUCACAUUACGCUCGGCACGACAGCAUUAUGCGACAUGUUGUUUUGCGAGGAGUCUCCUCCCAGCUGCAGUCAGCGGCUCAGCGUGUCGACUCGGGGAAACCGACUGCCCUGGCAGUGUCAUCUGUGAUUGCCGUCGGGACCUUCCAUGGCUUGGUGCUCGUAUUUGAUCCUGAUCAAGCCUUGAAAUGGUGUCUGGGAAGCAGGCAACUCGGAGAGCAGUACGGGUCGGUGUCUGCUCUUGGCUUCAACAGCGAUUGCACGAGGCUCCUCUGUGGCUAUGCCAAGGGUCAGCUGACCAUGUGGGAUCUUACCAGUGGGAAGCUGCUUCGCACCAUCACAGACAUUCAUCCUCCCCAGACGGCCAUUUUGCAUGCCAAGUUUACAGAUGACCCCACUUUGGCAAUCUGCAGCGACAGUGGCGGCUCAGUGUUUGAGCUCAACUUCAGGAAGGUCCUCAACAACCGCACUUGCGAAUCCGUUUGCAUCUUUUCUGGAAGUCGGGGCGAGGUUUGUGCUGUCGAACCGCUGCGAGUGGGCCAGGAAAUUCGCCACCAUCCAGCCCAUGAUGUCUCCCUCCUGGCUCUGGGCACUGUCACCAAGGUGAUUGUAGUCACCGUGCGGCCAAUCCUUCGUGUACGCUUCACUCAUCCACUGAAGGCUGAUCCUGACACUUUGCCGCUGCUGAGCUGGCAGUUCGUGGUUAUCCAGGUUUCAGCUGCGACGCGCAUCAUUGACCCCGUCCUUGCUUUUGGUCGCCAAAAUUUGCUCUUCUUCUUCCAGGUGAACAUUUCCAGUCCCGACAAGAUUCUCUUCAUCCCGCUUCAGAAGAUUGAAUUGCAGUACACUGUGCAGACCUUUACAUGGCUGAACUCUCGCACUUUGGCUGCCUUGGACACUUCAGAGGACUUGCACAUUUUGGAUGUGCGCUCGCAGGAGGAGCUAGAGACCCUAGACAUGGCAGAUGUUCAGAUGGUGUAUGGCACAAGCCACUUCAAGGGACAUGCAACGGGUGGAAAUGUCAGCAAGGCCAUGGCAGCUGCUGGUGAGCGAGCCUGCUAUCACUCUGUUGCUGGAUUUGGUUCCCAAGUCCUUUUCUUGGGCGUCAAGUCCAUUCACGUGUUGACACUGAGAACCUGGCUGGAAAGGAUUGAUUUUCUCUGCAAGCAGAACUUGUAUCCGGAUGCUCUUGCAUUGGCAUACAGUUUUUACAACGACGAAGCCAAGGCUGUGUCGGGUCUGGUGGGCAAGAAGGCGCACCGCCAGCAGCAGGUUGCCCGCAAGAUGGAGGAGCUGCUGACGACUUUUGCGGAGCUCCUGAUGACGCGGCUGAACCCGGACCACGGCCGCCUGGAAGUGCUCCUGGCGCACUAUGCGGAGACGGUGCCGCUGUGUGUGCGCUACUGCCUGGCCGUCGAGUUCAGCGAGGAGCUGUUUGAAAAGCUCUACAGCACGUUGGGCGCGGAUCCACUGGCCAAGGGCUGCUUCCUCGAGAGUCUGCCCCAGCACAUCUUGGACGGGCGGCUGUCGCGUCUGGGGCCCCAGUUGGCCAAGGAGUUUGUUCAGCAGCUGGCGAGCAAGCACCAGUUUGAGAUGCUCGAGGCUUGCCUAGUGCGGCUGGACAUCGCCUGCCUCGACAUUCACCAGGUGAUGACCCUGUGUUGGACCCACUGCCUCUACGAUGCCAUUAUCUAUGUCUACAACCGUGGCAUGAACGACUACACCACUCCCAUUAAGGAGCUGAUGGCAGUCCUGCGGGAGGCCUUGAAGCACGGAAAGCAACUGACGGACAAUCAAAUGAUGCUGGGAAACAAACUGCUCGUUUAUGUCAGCUGCUGCCUGGCAGGGCGAGGCUAUCCUCAUGGUGACAUUGAUUCAUCGAGAGUGGCAUCUGUCAAGGCUGAGGUGUUUCAGUGCAUCACGGCUCUUCACGGAGCUGGUGCCGAUGAUGACAGCAUCUUUCCAUACCUAAAGGCACUUCUCCACUUCAGCACACGAGAGUUUCUAAACGUUCUUGCUCUGGCGUUCGAGGAAGAGGAGUUCACCACUGAAUCUGGCUUGGCCCAGAAACAGAGGGUUGUGGACAUCCUGCUUCAGAUCAUGGUCCAAAGUGAAGGCUUUUCGCCGACCGAGGUGGGUGCCCUGUUCACGUUCCUGGCGAGACAGCUGGCCAGACCAGACAACACGCUCAUAGUCAACCGGCUGCUUUUUGAACAGGUUCUGGAGUACCUGACGAACCCUGACGAUGAGACCAGGAUGGAGGAGCGUCAGCAGGCGCUCUUGGAGCUCCUCCAGGCAGGUGGAUUUGUGGGCAUCGAGGACAAUCGUCUUCUGCAGCUCUCCGAGAAGGCCAAGUUCUAUAGAGUGUGUGAGUACCUCUAUGAGAAGAGGAGGCAGUACGACAAGAUCUUCCUCUGCUACUUGGAGGAUCCAUCUCGAAAGCCAAGAACCUUCUAUUAUGCCAUGCAAGUGUUUGAGAGUCACAACAUCAGUGAGCAGGAGAAAACCUCAUUGGAGAACCAACUGAUUGAAAGCAUUGAGGAGCUGCUAGAUAUAGAUAACACGGCAACUUCACAGUUGAUGCUUCAGUAUCUGGCACAUCGGGUGGAUGACGUUAUGCGGAAGUUAGAGGGCCGGCCCGAGGUCUUGUACCAGUUUCUUCAAGGCGUCUGGAACAGUAGGGAAUUGCAAAGCUCGUCUGCAGCCCAAAGCAUAGUUCCCGGGGCCAAGGACUCUCGUGGGCUGGCUGCCGAGGUCCAGGAGAAAUACAUCGACCUCAUGUGCCAGUUUGAGCCCGGUGCUGUUCACCAGUUCAUCUCCUCGUUUGAUGGUUACCGCCUGGAAGAAACACUGGAGAUCUGCCGUAGACACAAAGUCUGUGAUGCUACUGCAUAUCUCUUGGAAAGGGCCGGAGACAUUCAAGGAGCAUUCUCAAUCUUGCUCGAGGUUCUGCGAGAGAAGCUUAACAAGUAUGCUGAGCUGAAGCGGGAUGCCAGCCAUAAGUUUGAAAUGGAUGCAGUAUUCAAUGCCAUAGAUGCCCAGCUGUGCACUGUUGUACAACUAUGCCAGCGUAGCUCCAGCAAGAUGGACACAGCAGAACGAGAGGCCCUGUGGUUUCCACUUCUGGAAGUGGUCAUGGCCCCACAGCGGGAGCUGCGUACACUUCUCGGCCCUGAGCAACUUGGCGACUUCCAAGCCCUGACUCAUCACCUUUUGGGCAGCAUGAUGGGAUUUGUAGCACUACCGCACAUUCUGCAUAAGUUGAUGCAGAUUGCAGGAAGUACAUGUACUCAUCAUUCCCAAUGUGGCGACGUACCGUGGGCUGGACGACGCUAUGGUGGCACAUGACAGACCAACGUUGCGACGGAUGUGGGGCCGCUGCUUCGGAACUGUCGUUCGUGGACCCUGUGUACAGCUCGGGGAAGUUUGGUGAAGUGAGGGACUUCAUCAUGAAGAUGCUAGAC